UAUUCCAAACCUUUCUAACUUGCUAGGAAUUUGCUGGUGUUUACAUUGGCACCUCCGUGCCUAGUGGAUGCAUCUGAGGAAGGCUUUUGUGGAAGAGAAAACUGGUUGUUUUUCCCAGAAAACACCAGCUCAAAGAAGCAGCCUCGGCGGUGACACCUUGGAUAGAGUACUGGACCUGAAGUCAGGAAGACUCAUCCUUCUGAGUUCAAAUCCGGCCUUAGACACUUACUAGCCAUGUGACCCUGGAAUUAAUUUUAUAUCACUCAACACUUUCUGGUUGAUUUGCUGCCAAAGUGAAAUAUUUCCUGAGCCAUUUUGGAAGAAAUUGAACCAGGAAACGGAGGACAACACAGAGUUAGCAGGAAAACACAUUUCAGGAUCAGCAACGAUUAGAAUUGGGACUAUUAGAGUGGAUGAGAAAGAAGGUGAAGGAAAAGAACCCCACCCUGCAUAAAACAGGAAUUUGUGGACUUACAAUGGCCCCACUUGGAUUCUCCACAGUAAGAAUUCUUAACCUGGGCUCCGUCUAUGCAGGAGUGGUCCAGUGAUAGAUUUCAGGAGUCUGUGAA